UCAUUUAGCCUUCAUCCUAAAAGAAUCAAAUUUCAAAUGAAAAUGAAGGAAAUCAUAUAAUAUCCUCAUUUAAAUAUAAAGGGUUUAUUCGAGCCGUUUAUAACGCACUGUUGACGUAUAUAAGAAAAAAACAGACCUCCCUUGAGCCUCAGAACCUGAAGGAAUAGGUCUAUCAUGAAUAUCAGAUGAGCAAGCCCUUUGAUGGGCAGUUUUAUUACAGAGCCGGGGUGACACCCCGG
rnacentral:sRNA from 1 species